rnacentral:rRNA from 1 species
AACGAACGCUGGCGGCGUGCUUAACACAUGCAAGUCGAACGCGAACGUUUUCUUCGGAAAACUAGUAGAGUGGCGCACGGGUGAGUAACGCGUAAGUAAUCUACCCUGGCAUCUGGGAUAACCCACCGAAAGGUGUGCUAAUACCGGAUACGCUGAUUUAUCAGGAAAGGUGGCCUCUUCAUGAAAGCUACUGUGCCGGGAGGAGCUUGCGUACCAUUAGCUAGUUGGUGGGGUAAUGGCCUACCAAGGCGACGAUGGUUAGCGGGUCUGAGAGGAUGAUCCGCCACACUGGAACUGGAACACGGACCAGACUCCUACGGGAGGCAGCAGUGAGGAAUAUUGCGCAAUGGGGGAAACCCUGACGCAGCGACGCCGCGUGAGUGAGGAAGGCCUUCGGGUCGUAAAGCUCUGUCAGAAGGGAAGAAGUGUUAGAUGGUUAAUACCCAUGUAAUUUGACGGUACCUUCAGAGGAAGCACCGGCUAACUCCGUG